GCACUACUGACGAGUCCCAAACAAGACGAAACAGCUGUCCGGUGC
rfam:Echinostoma caproni strain Egypt genome assembly, scaffold: ECPE_scaffold0002297